rnacentral:rRNA from 1 species
GGGUCAGUAGGUUGGUCGUGCCACCGGUACGUACUGGUCUCACUGAUUCCUCCUUCCUGAAGAACCGUAAUGCCAUUAAUUUGGUGUUGCGGGGAAACAGGACUGUUACUUUGAAAAAAUUAGAGUGUUUAAAGCAAACUAACGCUUGAAUACAUUAGCAUGGAAUAAUGAAAUAGGACGAUCGAUCCUAUUUUGUUGGGUUCUAGGAUUGACGUA